rnacentral:rRNA from 1 species
GAUGAACGCUGGCGGCGUGCCUAAUACAUGCAAGUCGAGCGAACGGACGAGAAGCUUGCUUUUCUGAUGUUAGCGGCGGACGGGUGAGUAACACGUGGAUAACCUACCUAUAAGACUGGGAUAACUUCGGGAAACCGGAGCUAAUACCGGAUAAUAUUUUGAACCGCAUGGUUCAAAAGUGAAAGACGGUCUUGCUGUCACUUAUAGAUGGAUCCGCGCUGCAUUAGCUAGUUGGUAAGGUAACGGCUUACCAAGGCAACGAUGCAUAGCCGACCUGAGAGGGUGAUCGGCCACACUGGAACUGAGACACGGUCCAGACUCCUACGGGAGGCAGCAGUAGGGAAUCUUCCGCAAUGGGCGAAAGCCUGACGGAGCAACGCCGCGUGAGUGAUGAAGGUCUUCGGAUCGUAAAACUCUGUUAUUAGGGAAGAACAUAUGUGUAAGUAACUGUGCACAUCUUGACGGUACCUAAUCAGAAAGCCACGGCUAACUACGUGCCAGCAGCCGCGGUAAUACGUAGGUGGCAAGCGUUAUCCGGAAUUAUUGGGCGUAAGCGCGCGUAGGCGGUUUUUUAAGUCUGAUGUGAAAGCCCACGGCUCAACCGGGGAGGGUCAUUGGAAACUGGAAAACUUGAGUGCAGAAGAGGAAAGUGGAAUUCCAUGUGUAGCGGUGAAAUGCGCAGAGAUAUGGAGGAACACCAGUGGCGAAGGCGACUUUCUGGUCUGUAACUGACGCUGAUGUGCGAAAGCGUGGGGAUCAAACAGGAUUAGAUACCCUGGUAGUCCACGCCGUAAACGAUGAGUGCUAAGUGUUAGGGGGUUUCCGCCCCUUAGUGCUGCAGCUAACGCAUUAAGCACUCCGCCUGGGGAGUACGACCGCAAGGUUGAAACUCAAAGGAAUUGACGGGGACCCGCACAAGCGGUGGAGCAUGUGGUUUAAUUCGAAGCAACGCGAAGAACCUUACCAAAUCUUGACAUCCUUUGACAACUCUAGAGAUAGAGCCUUCCCCUUCGGGGGACAAAGUGACAGGUGGUGCAUGGUUGUCGUCAGCUCGUGUCGUGAGAUGUUGGGUUAAGUCCCGCAACGAGCGCAACCCUUAAGCUUAGUUGCCAUCAUUAAGUUGGGCACUCUAAGUUGACUGCCGGUGACAAACCGGAGGAAGGUGGGGAUGACGUCAAAUCAUCAUGCCCCUUAUGAUUUGGGCUACACACGUGCUACAAUGGACAAUACAAAGGGCAGCGAAACCGCGAGGUCAAGCAAAUCCCAUAAAGUUGUUCUCAGUUCGGAUUGUAGUCUGCAACUCGACUACAUGAAGCUGGAAUCGCUAGUAAUCGUAGAUCAGCAUGCUACGGUGAAUACGUUCCCGGGUCU